AACAUUGUAGCUAGCUACGUAUAAAUACUGGAACAAAAAGAGAACUUCCUCAACAGCGACUGUUGUAACAACAGUAAGGGGGGGACAAUGUCCGUGUUGGUUUGGGACUUCAACCAUUAUGUUUUUACUCCGUCUGUUUUGAUAGACGGAGUAUUUCACCUAGAGCACAGAAGUGCCGUUGCUGUGCUGUACCCGCUGGACAGUGUUCCGAGUGUUCGGGGAGCUGUAGAAUGUAUUGUUGGAUGUGCGUUUCAGUAUUGUUGGAUGUGCGUUUCAGUACCGCUUUUCCCACCACAGAGAGAAGUCUCUCGCUACGACCUGUAGGAAGGCCCUCUGGACAUACGCGCACUGCGUCAACGCAGGACCGUAUGUUGAGUGAAGGAAGUGACAUACUCCUGCGUGCUCAUUUACGCGCGUUGAAGACGUGCAUCAUUGGCGCGCAGUCACAUAUGUCAGGAGGCGCAUGACAAGCAUGGCGCGUUGAUGAUCGCGUGCCACACGCACGGGACACAGACACAGAGCUCCAGCUGCCCCUUCCCCACGCGCUGUAGGCCGAAGCAAAGAACUUAUGCAGACAGCAAUAUCAUGCCCUUUUUUAAGCUCACAGUAAUCAGCCUGGCCUCAAAACAUUACCAGCUGACCAAGAAUUCACCUGAUAACCACUCCAUUACUGCCAGCCUCUCACUCUCCAGUUGUUCAUGGGGAAAUCCCUGCUGCAUACCUGCCGGUGCUGGAUCGAGGGCUGCCCACUACUCCACAUGUGUGUGUGUGCUGAGCUCCUAAUGUGUUCUGGAGCUCACAGAUCCUAGUGUGUGUCUAUAUGUGUGUGUGUGUGUGUGUGUGUGUGUGUGUGUGUGCGUGUGUGUGUGUGUGUGUAUACUGCCUCUGGAAUGGUGAAAUGCAGAGAACACAUUUCCUUCGAGGACAAAUAGAGUACUUAACUUAACAGGCCCCCCCGCCCCAAGGCCCUGAUUGGACUGGAUACCAAAAGGCCCUCACUGCAAGGGCAACAGUAUCCCAGCAUGCUUUUCUGCGUGGAUCUUAGUACUCUGAUCAGUGAUGUGCACAGUGAAGCUGAGGUCUGGGAGCUGGAGCAGACAUCAUCUGGGUAGUUGGGUUGGUGUUAAAACAAGACAUUUGAAGGGCUGUGCAACCCAGUGACCCAAUGGUCCUAUCAUGAAUCAGUUAGUUACACACACACACACACACACACAUUACCUGUCUGGUCUUUUACACUGCUCACCAAAGAGCUUAUUAAUGUCAGGCACACUUCUGGACACUAUGCUGCUCCUCCAUGCAAGUUACUUUCCUCCUUCAACUGUGUGAAUUUCGUGUCUGCAGGUCUGCCGUCCAUCUCUUUGUCUGAUGCUUUGGCCUGUCUUGUUUCCUCUCUCUACAACAUUGCAUAAGGUGUCUGAUGCUUUGGCCUGUCUUGUUUCCUCUCUCUACAACAUUGCAUAAGGUGUCUGAUGCUUUGGCCUGUCUUGUUUCCUCUCUCUACAACAUUGCAUAAGGUGCCUGAUGCUUUGGCCUGUCUUGUUUCCUCUCUCUACAACAUUGCAUAAGGUGCCUGUAUGCUGCAAAAGUGAAGUAAAGUCACUGGUAAUUAUCAGCCGUUGUUGUCCAAACUGACGCUGGCUCGCUAUGGCAGCUUUGGGGUUAGAUCUUGGGCCAACCAUUGAUGAUACUGCUGCUUCACCACGUCAGAAACAGAAGUGUAAUACUAUGCAGUAAAACUAUGUAUAAAACUGUGUGUAAUAAUGUAAUAAUAUAGUAUUCAACUGGUAUUGUUAUUGAUUCAGUAGCCCAUAUUCAGCUUUCAUCAGAGGGUGCUCAUGUCAUACCAGAUAUUUGGUGGCUAACAGGAGCGGACAGUGUUCUGGCAGGUUGCCAUGGUGACUUCACAACUAUUUUAGUUAAAUUGACCAGUUGUGGAGCUCAAGUGUGUAAUUUUGAGGGAGCAAAUGUCAUUAAAUUAAUCUGACAGUU